GGGGGUGUAAUGGUCUCGACAUUGCUUUUCGCACAUGCAGUGCACCUCGGAGGCUCGGCUCCGUCAUCAACGGAACAGUUAAUAUAACUGCAAAGAACGAAAAUUCUUACGCUUUAGCUGCUUAAUAACCAGCUAGCGUGAUCCUUCCGACUUCGCUCAAGGGUCGGGUCUGGGUCUCAAAUUAUUGAGCUACGGUUAAUGUUGCCACCUGAGGCAUUAACAAGAGACUAGUAGGUUAGCUGCGUUGUGUUAGCCUUGCUGGCUGGCGCGACAUCGCGGCGAAUUUUAAAUAAGUCAGCUAUAGGUGUAGAGCUGCAUGUAGCAGGGGUGAUGGACAGGAGUUCGAUUCUCCUCACCUCCAUUA
rnacentral:tmRNA from 17 species